rnacentral:rRNA from 1 species
GGGUGAGUAACGCGUAAGGAACUUGCCUCUUGGUCUGGGACAACUGUUGGAAACGACAGCUAAUACCGGAUAUUAUGAGAUUCUCGCAUGGGAAACUUAUGAAAGCUAUAUGCGCCAAGAGAGAGCCUUGCGUUCCAUUAGCUAGUUGGUGGGGUAACGGCCCACCAAGGCGACGAUGGAUAGCCGGCCUGAGAGGGUGAACGGCCACAAGGGGACUGAGACACGGCCCUUACUCCUACGGGAGGCAGCAGUGGGGAAUAUUGGACAAUGGGCCACAAGCCUGAUCCAGCAAUUCUGUGUGCACGAUGAAGGUCUUCGGAUUGUAAAGUGCUUUCAGUUGGGAAGAAGAAAGUGACGGUACCAACAGAAGAAGCGACGGCUAAAUACGUGCCAGCAGCCGCGGUAAUACGUAUGUCGCAAGCGUUAUCCGGAUUUAUUGGGCGUAAAGCGCGUCUAGGCGGAAAAAUAAGUCUGAUGUUAAAAUGCGGGGCUCAACUCCGUAUUGCGUUGGAAACUGUUUUUCUAGAGUACUGGAGAGGUGAGCGGAACUACAAGUGUAGAGGUGAAAUUCGUAGAUAUUUGUAGGAAUGCCGAUGGAGAAGUCAGCUCACUGGACAGAUACUGACGCUAAAGCGCGAAAGCGUGGGGAGCAAACAGG